rnacentral:rRNA from 1 species
AGUGAACGCUGGCGGCAGGCCUAACACAUGCAAGUCGAGCGGCAGCGCGGGGCAACCUGGCGGCGAGCGGCGGACGGGUGAGGAAUGCAUCGGAAUCUACCCUGUCGUGGGGAUAACGUAGGGAAACUUACGCUAAUACCGCAUACGACCGAGAGGUGAAAGUGGGGGACCGCAAGGCCUCACGCGAUUGGAUGAGCCGAUGCCGGAUUAGCUAGUUGGUGGGGUAAAGGCCCACCAAGGCGACGAUCCGUAGCUGGUCUGAGAGGAUGAUCAGCCACACUGGGACUGAGACACGGCCCAGACUCCUACGGGAGGCAGCAGUGGGGAAUAUUGGACAAUGGGCGCAAGCCUGAUCCAGCCAUGCCGCGUGUGUGAAGAAGGCCUUCGGGUUGUAAAGCACUUUUGUUCGGGAAGAAAAUCGUGCGGAUUAAUACUUCGUACGGAUGACGGUACCGAAAGAAUAAGCACCGGCUAACUUCGUGCCAGCAGCCGCGGUAAUACGAAGGGUGCAAGCGUUACUCGGAAUCACUGGGCGU